rnacentral:lncRNA from 1 species
GAGGUGGGAGAGCCAUCACUGGAGAGGUGGCAUUGGCGCCAGUACUCAGGCCAGAAGCCCCUUGUGCCCUGCUCUCAGGUAGGCCUGGAAAAGGGCAACAGUGCCUCUCUGCAGCAUGAAGCCCCCCUGAGCAAACAGGGCCUAGCAACUCCUGCCCAGGUAGCGGAAUGUGGCCCAAGCAGAAGGGGGAAUUGGGGAGGUAGCGGGGAUCAGCCCCUGUGCUGGGACCCCUAGCUCUUGACACUCGGAGCCUGCAUCCCCCUAAGCCAAGACUGUGCGCAGGCAGCACGUGCUGAAGCCAGACGAGGACAGCAUGAGAGUUCCCCUACUCUUCCCCCAGGCAACUAGAUGGGCCACUUCUCUCUCCCUAGGGGUUUCCUCCCAUAUUGGAUCACGAUGAAAACUGCACAGAAAGUCCGUGCUCAGUUUCUUCCAUGGUUACAGAACACAGGCCCCAGACCAGGAAGGCAUUCUGCUAAAGAAGGGGACCCGAAACCUCAGCUACCAGCGCCGAUGGUUCAUCCUCCGAGGAAACCUCCUCUUCUACCUAGAACACUAGACCGACCAUGCACCCCUGAGCCUCAUCCUGUUAGAGAACUGCCAGGUGGAACCACACCUUAAGGCUGCAGAACCCUAUGCCUUUACCAUCCUGACCCCUGGGGUGGAGGGCACAGGUGGGCGGGCCUACAAGCUGGCUGCAGAAACCCAGGAAGAGCUGGAGACUUGGCUGUGGGCACUGGCUGGCGCGAGCUGGAGGCGGCUGGCUGGGCUGCUGUCCCCCCUCCCCCCCCACCAAAACCCAAUACUGGGAGCUGUGCCAGGCAACUGGCCAAGAACCCAUCUCAUCCCCAGAGGACAGUGGCUUUCUAGCCACUGUGAGUACCCCCUCCAGCUUCCAGGAGUUGCAUGAGCACUUUGGGAAGGAGAUCCGGGUGCUGCACGUGGUACAUAGAGAGCUCCAGGCAGCCAGUGACAAUGGAGACAGCAGAUCCCAGGCAAAGAUGGAGCAGGAGCUCAACCAGUGUCUGAUGAGUGACUGAGAGAUGGACCCAAAGCUAAGAGGCCCAGGCACAGUGGCUCACGCCUGUAAUCCCAGCACUUAAGGAGGCUAAGGCAGGCGGAUCGCUUGAGCCCAGGAGUUCAAGACCAGCCGGGGCAACAUGAUGAAAACCCAUCUCUAUCAAAAAACAAAUAAAAGUAAAAAUAAAAA